GAAGCCAGGGCUUUUUCCACUGAAAAGCUGAAGCCAGGAGACCCCUGCUUUUAGAAGCCAGAAGCCGCUUGCUGCAACUGUAGCGCUCUUUUUAACUGUAGCGAUGAGUUAAUGAAUCUUUCGAAAUACCAAUGGGUACCCUCAUGGCUUGGAAGUAAUUACGGCCCAAUACCAUUCAUGAAAACACUGCUCUUCUGACUCUUCCAUUUGCUUCUUCUCCCUCAUCUCUACUGCUCUCCUUCAUAGACGUCGAUCGAAACCCCGGGCUAGUUAUCGGAGUAAGUAGAGAAGGAAGGAAAACCCGAGAAAAAGGAUUAGUACUGGUUCAGAAUCUGAGAAGGAAGACGGGAAGAGAGAGACACAGGGCGGCGGACUGACGUCAUUUUGAUUUUCUGACGCAUACGUCUCUUCUAUCAAGCAAGGCUCUCAACUGAAACCGCAUCACCUAGCCUCUCAUCAAGAUUCCGGGUUAGAAAUCGAAGCCUCAAUCGUGCAAGGCUGCUUGGAAUUUGAUUCGGUGCUGAUGCUAAAGUGAAGGAGUUGUGACAUUCAAUUGAUGUUCUAAAAGCUGAAAGUGAACAUUUUAUCCGCAGUGAAGAAAGAGAAGAUGAUGGGUCAAGUGGUGGAAUAGAGAUUGAUGAUGACGUAAAAGAAGAAUAUCAUGGUCGUGGUGCACAAGAAAGGGAAACAAUAAGAAAUAACAUUACUCUAAGUUUGAUGAGUGCACGUAAUAACGUGAACAUUUGAAUAUGUUAUGAUAUUUUUUGUGGUUACUUGAUGUGAACCAGAAAUCAAUUGUUAUUAAUGUUACUAAUAUAUUUGUAUAAGUUACUUUUAAAAUUGUCUAAUAUUAAUCAUAUGGUCA